UUAGUGUAAAUGACAAAACAUUAUAGACACCAUAUAGGCAAGACUAUGAAAAAACAGUUGUUUAGGUUGGCCUUUGCAUUUUGAAUUUACAGCACCUCAGACGAAAGCAUUAAAGCACAAACCUGUGAGCCUAGUGUAAAACCUUGAGCGUGGCAAAGAGACUAAUGGAUUAUUAGAGCUGAUUUAGAAUAAUUUAGCCUGAUGCUAAGUGCAUGUAGGUGCCAAACCCUUUUUUAAAAGUACUGAUACACUCUAGUACUAUAAUAUCAUUUCACAAAAUUCAAACUGUCUGACAGAGACAACUGUUGUUUAGCCACCAUUGCCAAACGUUCAAACUCUGGCUUUGCCUAGGGGUGCAUACAUCUUAUAUGCAUUACUAGCAGUACAUGAAAUGUAAGAUACUGAUACCCUUCUCUCCAAAUCCAGCAUAUCAUCCAAAGUAUGAUCAACCUUAAAUAGGCUGGUUAUGUGUUUUUUUUCCCUUCCAUCCUUUGACAAGGGAAGAUUUAAAUUUGUAAUCUCCAGCCUUAGCCCUUUUGGAAUUAAAUUGAAACAGAUGUCAAGAAUAUUUGCACUGAUAUGAAGAAAGCAAAACAGGAAGAGCCUGUUAGUUAAUAAUAGUAAUGAUUACUAGAAAUUAUAAACUGGGUAGUUCGUGCACUGAAUGCUGAUUGGCUGAAAGCUGUGGUAUAUCAGACUGUAUACCACAGGAAUGACAAAACAUUACGUUGGUAACCAGUUUAUAAUUUCAAUAAGGCACAUCGGGGGUUUAUGUUUAAAGGCUGUGUUUAGGCACUCCCCGUUGUGUCAUGACUAAGAACGGCCCUUAGCCCGUGGUAUUUUGGCCAUACACCACAUCCCCUCUGGCCUUAUUUCUUAAUUAAACUAUGAUUAAAAACAUGAUUGUUAUGCUUGAGGUAGUUUUGGAACAAGCAAUGUUAGCUUUAUUUUUCAAUGGAGUUGAUGGUCAAAUUUGACUGAAUUGAGAAUAAGCACAACAGAA
rnacentral:lncRNA from 1 species